GAUGAAGGAGUUCAACAGGCUGAGCCCCCAUGCUCUCCUCGGCCCGCGAAUACCACUGCAAUGCCCGCUCACAGCGCCGAUGAAGAAGUUCAACAGACUGAGCCCUCAUGUUCCAAUCCAGCGGGUCGACAACACAAGCCUUCUAGGUGCUCGCCCCGGACAGCCAGAAAAAUGAAAAACCUGGAGAAGAUAAAUUCAAGGCUUCGGAAGGCACUGUCAAGAAUUGGCAAGAGAAAGGUUAAAAAGCUUUCCCAGUCCGAGGCGUUGAAUGCUAUCAGGCCCUACGUCCGCAAGACAUUCUUUAGAUUGCUUGAGACUCAAGUUAAAAUUAAUGGUGUGAAACGUAGAGGACGGAGGUGGUCGCCCGAGCACCGCCAGUUCGCUUUAAACUUAUACUUUCAUGGUCCGAAAGCGUACAGACAUCUGUCAAAACUGCUUGACAUGCCAACUGUAAGGUCGCUAAAGCAGUGGUUAUCAA
rnacentral:lncRNA from 1 species